rfam:Schistosoma rodhaini strain Burundi genome assembly, scaffold: SROB_contig0000300
AUCCAGCUGAUGAGUCUCAAAUAGGACGAAACGCGCGUCAAACUGGAU